rnacentral:rRNA from 1 species
CAGCAGCCACGGGAAUACGAAGGGGGCUAGCGUUGCUCGGAAUCACUGGGCGUAAAGGGUGCGUAGGCGGGUUUUUAAGUCAGAGGUGAAAUCCUGGAGCUCAACUCCAGAACUGCCUUUGAUACUGAAAGUCUUGAGUAUGGGAGAGGUGAGUGGAACUGCGAGUGUAGAGGUGAAAUUCGUAGAUAUUCGCAAGAACACCAGUGGCGAAGGCGGCUCACUGGCCCAUAACUGACGCUGAGGCACGAAAGCGUGGGGAGCAAACAGGAUUAGAGACCCGAGUAGUCCCUGUCUCUUAUAC